AUGGCAGGGUCGGGGGCCAACAGUGAUGCCAGGGUGAAACUUGAUGUUGGGCACUUAAACAACUCCCUGGUUCUCCAGUUCAAGCUGACGUGUACUUCCCACGACUGAGAGUUCUAUUUUGUGGGCACAUUAAAGGUGGCAUGAGACCAGGCAAGAAGGUAUUAGUGAUGGGCAUCGUAGAUCUCAAUCCCAAAAGCUUUGCCAUCAGCUUGACCCACAAUGACUCUGAAGAUCCUCCUGCCCGUGUGGCGAUUAAACUCAAAGUUGUGUUCAUAGCUCUUUAGAAACUUGUAUCGCAGGAGAAAGAGACGAAGAGCAGUUGGCAGUCCCUUAUUUUCCAUUUGUCCCAGACCAGCCGUUCAGGGUGGAGAUUCUUUGCCAGCAACCGUGUUUCAGAGUGUUAGUGGAUGGAUGCCACCUUUUUGACUUUUAUCAUCAGAUUCAAACAUUAUCUCCAAUUGACACCAUAAAAAUCAAUGGGGACCUCCAGAUGACCAAACUUGGCUGAUGUUUAAAGCACUUCUGUUUCAAAUAUGAUUGAUCAGGUGCCACAACUACAUGUCUGAAAGAGGUGCCGUAGCCAGAUCUGAGACUUUAAAAGAAAACAAAAACAAAGGCAGACCUCACUGCCUCUUUUUGUGCAGUUUAAGUCUGGAAUGACAACUUUGUCUGUGGUUUGCCCAGAAGGAGAAAGCUCACAAGAAAGACACAGAGCCAUUAUGCCCAGAACAAAGUAAAAUAUUUAUGCUGGAUUUUAUUCAGACUAAACUAAAAUGGAUUUGUGAUGAUUUGUGAUUUGGUAGCAAUUACUCAUCAUUUCAAAGCAAGGUGAUAUUUAGAAACAAAAUUGCUAAAGACCUUAAAAACAACAAGUGUGCAUCAAAUCUGUGCAUUUCUGCACUGCUGUGGAAUUGCAUAGCACCACUGACAUUUUAGCCAGGGUAUUUACAUAGAGUGUAGAUUGUGCAAGGUUUGGUCCUUAUGCUUUCUUGGGGGUUGUUUUGGUUUUUUGUUUUGUUUUGCUUUUUGGCACAGCAUCAUGUUAACUUGGAUUUUUAAGUGUUCUCGAUUAAUUUAUUUAUAUUUCGUAUGUGUAUUAAUGUAUCAGAGAAUGAGCAAUGUCUACAAAUUACGAACUUAGGGCUGAGGGGGAAAUUUAUGUAUAACAAGCAUAAAAUAAGUGGAUUUUUACCUUAAAGAAUUUGAGGGUAUCUUACCCCUCAACUUUGGCUUCUUAACAUAAAUUGCUAUAGAUGCUUUUGGGGAAAUUUUUGCAACACUUCAAUAAAACUCUAAAGUU